AGAGUUUGAUCAUGGCUCAGAAUGAACGCUGGCGGCGUGCUUAACACAUGCAAGUCGCGUGCGCAGUUCCGUAGCAAUACGGGAUGGGCGCACGGCGCACGGGUGCGUAACACGUGGGCAAUCCGCCCUCUGAUGGGGAAUAACCCCGCGAAAGCGGGGCUAAUACCGCAUAACAUUCCUUGGACUACGGUCCGGGGAUUCAAAGCAGUGAUGCGUCGGAGGAGGAGCCCGCGCCCGAUUAGCUAGUUGGUGAGGUAAUGGCUCACCAAGGCAAUGAUCGGUAGCUGGUCUGAGAGGAUGAUCAGCCACACUGGAACUGAGACACGGUCCAGACUCCUACGGGAGGCAGCAGUGGGGAAUCUUGCACAAUGGGCGAAAGCCUGAUGCAGCGACGCCGCGUGGGGGAUGAAGCUUCUCGGAGUGUAAACCCCUUUCGACUGGGACGAAUGCCCGCAAGGGAGUGACGGUACCAGUAGAAGAAGCCCCGGCUAACUACGUGCCAGCAGCCGCGGUAAGACGUAGGGGGCCAGCGUUGUUCGGAAUUACUGGGUGUAAAGGGUUCGUAGGCGGUGUGGCAAGUCGGGAGUGAAAUCUUUGGGCUUAACCCAGAGGCUGCUUCCGAAACUGCUGUGCUCGAGUGUGGGAGAGGCGCGUGGAAUUGUAGGUGUAGCGGUGAAAUGCGUAGAUAUCUGCAGGAACACCCGUGGCGAAAGCGGCGCGCUGGACCACUACUGA
rnacentral:rRNA from 1 species